rnacentral:tmRNA from 1 species
GGGGCUGUCCCGGUAUCGACAGCAUAGAUCUUUGAAAGUGUAAGCAUGCAGUGCGUUGUGUACUCUGCACUUUAAUCUUGAAUACUCAAACUAUAAAUGGCAAUACUCAGUAUGCCAUGGCUGCCUAAUCAGUGAUUAGUUAGUCAUUAGGGCCGCGGGUGCAGGUAGUUCUGUUACCACGCUCCGCCGCCGACUUAAAAACAAAACAGAAUGCUGUCGCGAAAGGCUGUGAUCGUGACAAAAGUCCCGAUAGCUAUCGGGAUAUGCAGCUAGGCAAGGAAUUGGUUUGUUCGUUUCCUGUUUUUUGCCGACCCCCUAAUAAUGAACUAAGCAUGUAGAAAGCUUUUGGGGAAUAUGUUUGGACGCGGGUUCGAUUCCCGCCAGCUCCACAA